GGUCAUGAGUGCCAGCACGAAGCCCCGGCUAGCUGGCCGGCAACCCUCCUCCGCGGCGGGGUGCCCCGGGUGAUGACCUGGUUUCCUGAUCAGGCGAGUCGGGCGACAAGCGCGGAUC
rnacentral:ncRNA from 2 species